GUGCCAAGGGUUGAUGGGAAGAGAAAAGGAGGGGCAGGUAGAAGGCAGAGACACACAUGGCUAGAUAUCUCUUUUCCAGGCUGAAGUCCUAAUGGGGAAAGUGUGUGAAAUAAAACAAGAUGCCCCAAAGUCUCUCAUUAAUCCGGGCCAGAUGGAUCAGGUGAACUUGGUGUUGGAGAGACAACCUGAGUCUGGCUUCCUCUUUCACCUGCUUCUUCUGUGUCACAGAUAGGAUCUACAGUGCCUGUGUUCCCUGACGAGGACAUGCACAAUUCUUCCUACCUUGUAGGUGCAUAUGAUGAAAACAAUCCAGGUGUCACCAGGAAAUAAACAGGCCAUGGUUUCUUUUCAAAUCUGAGGAUAGAGAGAGCACAAGCAGGAGAGGGGCAG